UAUGAACGGUAUCAAAUAACCAUAGAUUGGUUAUUCUAAGUCAAGAUAACACUGCCUUAGAGUCGUUUAGUUAACGAUUCGGUAGAGCUCGGACACGUAGUCUAUCUACGUUGUCUUAUGUAGAAACUUAUAAUUUAUUCUUUGUUAGGAAUGUCAUAGUUGCACGCUAGCUAAGUUACGUUCUUGGAACGACACUACGGAAUCACACUAAGCUAGCCUUGCACAGGAAUAUCCAGGUUGCAUUUUCAAAACUAUGGAACGGUUGGAAUAGGAGAACCCAUGGGAAUUCGAGUACUUAGCUGCGUUCAGUUUCUAGAAGUUUUAGCAUUAUUAGCUUCCGCUGUGCAAUGAAGAUACCGGUCCAGUCACGCCAAGCUCUGAUAUUUCGGGGUGUGACACAUUUAACUUGAAAUUAAAAAAAAAAAUAAAAACAUUGUUAUCCUUAAACAUUGGAUAUAACUAGAUAAAUACAACCAUCAAAUGAUAAAUCAAAACACAAGAAGUCUACUACACCACCAAACGAUGAAUCAAGUUUAACUAACUUACACAUAAUUAUCCCCAAAAAUGUUUUAGAAUGUCUAAAUUUUAGCUAACAAAGAAACAAAUAGGAUUUCAAGUUUCCAAUAUGUUUAGCUAAAUGGUUUAUUAUGUAUUAUUUUUUGAUAUAAUCAAACGAACACGAACGAACGUAACCGAACGUAUUGCCGAACGUUCAUGAACGUAGUCGAACGAAUGAGAUCUGUGUUCGUGUUCGUUCGCUAAGUUAAUCUAACGAAAUUUUUUGUUCGUGUUCGUUCGUUAAGCUAAUCGAACGGACAUAAACGAACUUCCCGCCGGACGGUUCACGAACUGUUCGCUGAACGUUCGGUUCAUUUACAGCCCUAGUUACGAUGGAAUCGAUUCCUAACAUUUCAACCAAGCUUUUCAUACAACACAAAGUUUUUAUUAAAACCGGUUACAUUACAUUAUAACACUAAACAUUUAGUUAACAUAAAACACACUAAAUCCUACAAAUUCAACAUUACAUAAAACACUAAGAAUUUGAAGAACCGGCCGUGGAUGCUUCACCGGCUUCAUUUUCCUUCGCCUUUGUAACCAGACAAUGACUAUCGGUGUGUUUUUUUAGCGUCGAGUUGACCGUAGCCUUAAUAAACUUGCCGCAAGCUUUGCACCGUGCCAUCUCAUGGCUAUCGCUCAUUAAGCACAAAUCAAAGUGAUUCCAAACUUGGGGGUUUCUUUUGGUUUCCAAAACCAUGACUACUUCAUCGUUGCAUGCCAUAACGAGCUUUGAAGAUAUAGAUUAGAAGGUGUAACUUGAAACCGAUUUAUCUAUUUUUUGAGUAGGAGUAAGUUAUGUUUGAAGGUGAUAUGUAUAUAUAUACUUGAAAACGAUUUUAGCCAUAAAUCGAUUUCUAACGGCA